GAGAUCUGAUAGCAAGCUGUACUUGUACAGCGAAGUGGUUGAUGCCAUGCUUCCAGGAAAAGUCUCUAAGCUUCAGUUACACAGGAAUCGUACCCGAAACCGACACAGGUGGUCAGGUCGAGUAGACCAAGGCGCUUGAGAGAACUCUGCUGAAGGAACUAGGCAAAAUGGUACCGUAACUUCGGGAGAAGGUACGCUGUUGUUGGUGAUGGAACUCGCUUCCUGAGCUGACGACAGCCGCAGAAACCAGGCCGCUGCAACUGUUUAUUAAAAACAUAGCACUCUGCAAACACGAAAGUGGACGUAUAGGGUGUGAUGCCUGCCCGGUGCUGGAAGGUUAAUUGAUGGGGUUAGCGUAAGCGAAGCUCUUGAUCGAAGCCCCAGUAAACGGCGGCCGUAACUAUAACGGUCCUAAGGUAGCGAAAUUCCUUGUCGGGUAAGUUCCGACCUGCACGAAUGGCAUAAUGAUGGCGGCGCUGUCUCCAGCAGAGGCUCAGUGAAAUCGAAAUCGCUGUGAAGAUGCAGUGUACCCGCGGCUAGACGGAAAGACCCCGUGAACCUUUACUGCAGCUUGACACUGAACUUUGACCUUACUUGUGUAGGAUAGGUGGGAGGCUUUGAAGCUGGAACGCUAGUUCCAGUGGAGCCGUCCUUGAAAUACCACCCUGGUAAUGUUGAGGUUCUAACUCUGUCCCGUGAUCCGGGACGAGGACCGUGUCUGGUGGGUAGUUUGACUGGGGCGGUCUCCUCCUAAAGAGUAACGGAGGAGUACGAAGGUGCGCUCAGCGUGGUCGGAAAUCACGCGUAGAGUAUAAAGGCAAAAGCGCGCUUAACUGCGAGACCCACAAGUCGAGCAGGUACGAAAGUAGGUCUUAGUGAUCCGGUGGUUCUGUAUGGAAGGGCCAUCGCUCAACGGAUAAAAGGUACUCUGGGGAUAACAGGCUGAUACCGCCCAAGAGUUCAUAUCGACGGCGGUGUUUGGCACCUCGAUGUCGGCUCAUCUCAUCCUGGGGCUGAAGCAGGUCCCAAGGGUAUGGCUGUUCGCCAUUUAAAGAGGUACGCGAGCUGGGUUUAGAACGUCGUGAGACAGUUCGGUCCCUAUCUACCGUGGGCGCUGGAAAUUUGAGAGGAUCUGCUCCUAGUACGAGAGGACCAGAGUGGACGAACCUCUGGUGUACCGGUUGUGACGCCAGUCGCAUCGCCGGGUAGCUAUGUUCGGAAGGGAUAACCGCUGAAAGCAUCUAAGCGGGAAGCCUACCUCAAGAUAAGAUUUCCCUAGGACUUUAUGUCCUCUAAAGAGCCGUUCGAGACUAGGACGUUGAUAGGUUGGAUGUGGAAGCAUAGUGAUAUGUGAAGCUGACCAAUACUAAUUGCUCGUGAGGCUUGACUAU
rnacentral:rRNA from 1 species